CGUAACAAGGUCUCCGUUGGUGAACCAGCGGAGGGAUCAUUACAGAGUUGCAAAACUCCCACAAACCAUCGCGAAUCUUACCCGUACGGUUGCCUCGGCGCUGGCGGUCCGGAAAGGCCCUCGGGCCCUCCCGGAUCCUCGGGUCUCCCGCUCGCGGGAGGCUGCCCGCCGGAGUGCCGAAACUAAACUCUUGAUAUUUUAUGUCUCUCUGAGUAAACUUUUAAAUAAGUCAAAACUUUCAACAACGGAUCUCUUGGUUCUGGCAUCGAUGAAGAACGCAGCGAAAUGCGAUAAGUAAUGUGAAUUGCAGAAUUCAGUGAAUCAUCGAAUCUUUGAACGCACAUUGCGCUCGCCAGUAUUCUGGCGAGCAUGCCUGUUCGAGCGUCAUUUCAACCAUCAAGCUCUGCUUGCGUUGGGGAUCCGCGGCUGUCCGCGGUCCCUCAAAAUCAGUGGCGGGCUCGCUAGUCACACCGAGCGUAGUAACUCUACAUCGCUAUGGUCGUGCGGCGGGUUCUUGCCGUAAAACCCCCCAUUUCUAAGGUUGACCUCGGAUCAGGUAGGAAUACCCGCUGAACUUAAGCAUAUCA
rnacentral:rRNA from 1 species